GAAGCCCGGCAACGGGUGGAGCUGACUGGUACUAAUAGGCCGAGGGCUUGUCCUC
rnacentral:rRNA from 1 species